GAUGAACGCUGGCGGCGUGCCUAACACAUGCAAGUCGAACGAAGCACCUUACCUGAUUCUUCGGAUGAAGGUUUGGUGACUGAGUGGCGGACGGGUGAGUAACGCGUGGGUAACCUGCCCUGUACAGGGGGAUAACAGCUGGAAACGGCUGCUAAUACCGCAUAAGCGCACGAGGAGACAUCUCCUUGUGUGAAAAACUCCGGUGGUACAGGAUGGGCCCGCGUCUGAUUAGCUGGUUGGCAGGGUAACGGCCUACCAAGGCAACGAUCAGUAGCCGGUCUGAGAGGAUGAACGGCCACAUUGGAACUGAGACACGGUCCAAACUCCUACGGGAGGCAGCAGUGGGGAAUAUUGCACAAUGGGGGAAACCCUGAUGCAGCAACGCCGCGUGAGUGAAGAAGUAUUUCGGUAUGUAAAGCUCUAUCAGCAGGGAAGAUAAUGACGGUACCUGACUAAGAAGCUCCGGCUAAAUACGUG
rnacentral:rRNA from 1 species